GUUCCAGCUCGCAGACUGUGGUGACUCAGCCGCCUUCAGUGUCAGUGUCCCCAGGAAACACCGUGAAACUCUCCUGCACCCUGAGCAGUGGGACCGGCAUCGGUGACUACUAUGUGUACUGGUACCAACAGAAACCUGGGAAUUCCCCACGAUACCUGCUGUAUUACUAUUCAGAUUCUGACAAGCACCAGGGCUCUGGGGUCCCUGCUCGCUUCUCUGGUUCCAAAGACACGUCCAGUAACGCCGGCUAUCUGACCAUCUCCGGGGCACUGGCAGAGGAUGAGGCUGAUUAUUACUGUGCUGUGAGGAAGAGUGGCACUGGUGUUCUACACAGUGACACAGACAGAUGGGGAAGUGAGACAAAAACACCCUUCCCUCCUCUCCCCCAGCCUGGGCCCUGUGUGCAAACUUCACCAGUUGCACAGUUUUGUCUCUGGCUGUGACAAAUCACACAGCUGUUUGUGACCAGGAAAUUCAGUCCAUACAGCUAU